rnacentral:rRNA from 2 species
UGAAGUCGUAACAAGGUAGCCGUAGGGGAACCUGCGGCUGGAUCACCUCCUUAAUCGACGACA